rnacentral:rRNA from 1 species
GACGAACCGAGCGAACGUUGUUCGGAAUCACUGGGCUUAAAGGGCGCGUAGGCGGGCUGUCAAGUCUGGGGUGAAAUCCCGCGGCUCAACCGUGGAACUGCCUCAGAUACUGACGGUCUCGAGGGAGGUAGGGGCGAGCGGAACUGAUGGUGGAGCGGUGAAAUGCGUUGAUAUCAUCAGGAACUCCGGUGGCGAAGGCGGCUCACUGGCCCGGUACUGACGCUGAGGUGCGAAAGCGUGGGGAGCAAACAGG